rnacentral:rRNA from 1 species
GGCGGCAUGCUUAACACAUGCAAGUCGAACAGUAACAGUGCUAGCUUGCUAGCAGCUGACGAGUGGCGAACGGGUGAGUAACGCGUAGGGAUCUGCCCUAGAGAGGGGGAUAACCCGGGGAAACUCGGGCUAAUACCGCAUAAGCUCUGAGGAGUGAAGUGUGCCUCUGCUUGCAAGCAUACACUCUAGGAUGAACCUGCGUUCGAUUAGCUAGUUGGUGGGGUAAAGGCCUACCAAGGCGACGAUCGAUAGCUGUUCUGAGAGGAAGAUCAGCCACACUGGGACUGAGACACGGCCCAGACUCCUACGGGAGGCAGCAGUGGGGAAUAUUGGACAAUGGGGGCAACCCUGAUCCAGCAAUGCCGCGUGUGUGAAGAAGGCCCGAGGGUUGUAAAGCACUUUCGUUGGGGAGGAACUGUCAAAUGUUAAUAGCAUUUGGAGUUGACGUUACCCAAAUAAGAAGCACCGGCUAACUCUGUG